GAUGAACGCUAGCGGCAGGCUUAACACAUGCAAGUCGAGGGGUAACGAUGGUGCUUGCAUCAGGCGACGACCGGCGAACGGGUGCGUAACGCGUAUAGAAUCUGCCUUGUACAGGAGGAUAGCCUUUAGAAAUGAAGAUUAAUACUCCAUAAUGUUAUUUGGUGGCAUCAUUAAAUAAUUAAAGAUUUAUCGGUACAAGAUGACUAUGCGUCCUAUUAGUUAGUUGGUAAGGUAACGGCUUACCAAGGCAGCGAUAGGUAGGGGGUCUGAGAGGAUUAUCCCCCACACUGGUACUGAGACACGGACCAGACUCCUACGGGAGGCAGCAGUGAGGAAUAUUGGACAAUGGGCGCAAGCCUGAUCCAGCCAUGCCGCGUGCAGGAAGACGGCCCUAUGGGUUGUAAACUGCUUUUAUACAGGAAGAAACACCAAUACGUGUAUUGGCUUGACGGUACUGUAAGAAUAAGCACCGGCUAACUCCGUGCCAGCAGCCGCGGUAAUACGGAGGGUGCAAGCGUUAUCCGGAAUCAUUGGGUUUAAAGGGUCCGCAGGCGGUCGAUUAAGUCAGAGGUGAAAUCCCAUAGCUUAACUAUGGAACUGCCUUUGAUACUGGUUGACUUGAGUCAUAUGGAAGUAGAUAGAAUAAGUAGUGUAGCGGUGAAAUGCAUAGAUAUUACUUAGAAUACCGAUUGCGAAGGCAGUCUACUACGUAUGUACUGACGCUCAUGGACGAAAGCGUGGGGAGCGAACAGG
rnacentral:rRNA from 1 species